UACGGGGGGGGCAAGCGUUGUUCGGAAUUACUGGGCGUAAAGGGCUUGUAGGUGGCCAACUAAGUCAGACGUGAAAUCCCCCGGCUUAACCGGGGAACUGCGUCUGAUACUGGAUGGCUAGAGAUUGGGAGAGGGACGCGGAAUUCCAGGUGUAGCGGUGAAAUGCGUAGAUAUCGGAAGGAACGCCGGUGGCGAAAGCGGCGGACUGGACCUUCACUGACGCUGAGGCGCGAAAGCUAGGGGAGCAAACGGG
rnacentral:rRNA from 1 species